AGGAUGAGGGAGACAGCAAGGGAGUGAGACGUAUGAGGGAAAAAUGUGUGCCGACAAACGCUGACGGGGAGAGGAGAGAAACCAAAGGGCCAGCCCUGACUCUGGGGUCCCACCUGCCAGGGACACUUCCAGCUGAUCCUUUUUAGGACCUGUCACAGUCUGCCUGGCGAGCUGUCAUUUCUCAUCACUUGGCUCUCACUGAGGAUCUUUGUGUUAUCACUGUCAUGAAGAGACCUGGCAACUGGCGCAGAAUUUCCCGGGGCGCUACCUGAUACGCCAUUAUUCGCCUCUUAUCAUCUUCGCAGAGUAGUUAGGCCGCUGUCAGAGAAAACUUGCAAGACGAAACCCAAGAGACAGAGCAUGCCAGAUGUUGUGGAGAGCACGACUGCCCAGUGCCUUCGGCCACACAUGCUGAAGUCACGAAGUUGGGAAAUCUGACUCAGGAGUCACUGUCCAGUGUGGGAGCUGACAAAGCGCCAAAUGGUCUGGGACAACUGGUUGAGGUGGCAUAUUUGCACCAGCCUUGUAUGGAAUCAGGAGCCUUGAGCUGUGUGCUCAGUCUUGACACAACCCCACCAGGAUCUUCUUCUCCAGGCUUGCUGUCAGCUCUGGAAGCCGUCUUGGCUGCCUCUGCUUCCCUGGAGACAAGGGCACCUUUCUGGGCUCCCAUGAAACACAUUUCGCAGACAUGGAGUCCUUUCAUCAGCCGUGCCUCUGUACCCUGGUUCUCAACGAAGUUUGCAUAAUGGUCCCCUGGGACACUCGUGAUAAAUGCAGAUCACUGGCUGUCCUCCACAGAGGUCUGAGUGGGCCCCUGUAGACUGCCACAUCCU